UCUGCAGCCAACCUUCUCAAGGCCUUUGCUCUUACAUAGGUCUUUCCCACUCGUGUGCCAACAUGCCGUGGUAUACCCUCCCUUGACCCCACGCGCUUUCCCAUCAGAACAAGGUAUGGCCGUCAAGGUAGAGUGAAGUUCAGCAACUUGCUCAAAUUCACGCACCAAAAGACUUGUACUUGACAUUGCCAGGAUCCGCAGCCCCUCGGCUGGACUCCAGAGCCAAGUUCCUCACUACUAUUCCACCCUACACGGGCGAUGCCGAAACGUGAAACAUCGAGAGGCUGCCAGAAGAAAUGGCCCACCUGUCUUCUGCAGUUACCACAUUAUCUUGUGAUACAGCGACAAGUACAGGUGAUCUCGGAACCACACAGGUUUGAACUGCACGGGUCCGCUUAUGCACGGAUUUUUUUUUUUUUUUAAAUAAAUA